rnacentral:pre_miRNA from 14 species
AGCUCGAGUCUCAGGAUGGUGCGCCCCAGGAAACACUGAUCCCAGACGAACCCCCAAAUGAAAGAUCCUCAAAGAGAGACCCUUCCUAAAGUCGCAGGAAAUCGCGGACCCCAGACACAGAGAGACCA